rnacentral:rRNA from 1 species
CCUACGGGGGGCAGCAGUGAGGAAUAUUGGUCAAUGGACGAGAGUCUGAACCAGCCAAGUAGCGUGAAGGAUGACUGCCCUAUGGGUUGUAAACUUCUUUUAUAUGGGAAUAAAAUGUUCCACGUGUGGGAUUUUGUAUGUACCAUAUGAAUAAGGAUCGGCUAACUCCGUGCCAGCAGCCGCGGUAAUACGGAGGAUCCGAGCGUUAUCCGGAUUUAUUGGGUUUAAAGGGAGCGUAGGUGGAUUGUUAAGUCACUUGUGAAAGUUUGCGGCUCAACCGUAAAAUUGCAGUUGAAACUGGCAGUCGUGAGUACAGUAGAGGUGGGCGGAAUUCGUGGUGUAGCGGUGAAAUGCUUAGAUAUCACGAAGAACUCCGAUUGCGAAGGCAGCUCACUGGACUGCAACUGACACUGAGGCUCGAAAGUGUGGGUAUCAAACAGGAUUAGAUACCCCUGUAGUC